AAUCGCUCCUAACCUAAUUCCUUCUCGUAGCUGACCUCCUCGCUCGAGCAAGUUGUGCACCUCGCAUGGCGGUGAGGACACCUGGGCCACGGUAGUAAGGACGCCCACGGUGGCAAGGACGCCUGCGGCUGCUUCAAAGCGGCCAUUGAUAACCCUCCAGUGCUCAACAUCAUCACCUUCACUAAGAUUGAAAGCAACCAAAUAAAGGUUUUUUCUUUCCCCAAAUCGCAUUACAGUAUCCAUGUUUUUAAAUCCACCUGUGCUCCACCACCAUCCACAACCUCCUCCGGAACCACAGCCUCCCUAACGCGCUAAUCCCCAAGUCUGUCAACUGCUUCUCCUACGACGACGCCUCCUAUCUCCUCGAGGUCCGACUCUAUGGCCCCUACUAUGCGCACUAUGAACACGAGCUCACCUACUUUGACAGCAAGGAACGGGAGAACCUCAGCUACGACACACUCCGCAAGGUGAUCGAGUGAGCGCAGGAGGAAUUGUUCUUUUAAUUCCCAGUAAAGGGGAUCAUGGUCAUCGAUCCCAGCUCUGGUGUGAUCCUCCUUCGCCUUCGACAUGCCACCAGAAUGCCGCCUGGAAGUGGAAGAAGCGACCGCAGGAAUAGGUGUGUGGCUUUGUUCUUUGCUACUUCAAGUACGAGUAAUUUUUUAUCACUAUUCGAGUUGAACUCAUUGAAUGUGUCAGGCGUGUGUUUUCUUAUUGCAAAGGAUUUAUUUUCAACUUCCAAAUCUCUCUAAUCACCAAAAGAAGGUAUUUCUUUAUUAGUUCCUUUCCAUGUUACUGUUUCUAUUGAUGUAAUGUAUUACACUUAGCUGCUUUAAUGCCCAUUUUAAUCAUUUUUUCUGGGGUUUCCUUGCAAAUAACCUAUAGUGUUAAAAGGACUUGAUUUUCUAUCAAACUUCCUUGCAUCCUGGUUUAUACAAUAGCAAACAUGUUCGAAGGAAGUUAUGAAUUAUGAAUAUUAGUUGAAUAAUAACUUAUUGCUUUUCUCUGACAUAUAGAGAAGAAAAUUUUUACCAGAUUAAAUUUUUAACUUUCUUGACUUAGUCGAUAACUGAUUUUUUUUCUCUGACCUUUCUGAUGAAACAUUCACAGGUGUAAAUAAUACUUCUAUUUAUUCUGAAUAUUUGACCAUCUUCAGGCUCCAUGUGAAGCUUUUACAAAGAUUCAAAAUAUUUGUUUCUAUUAUUGAAAAAUCUACCUACAUUCUUCUUUUAAUUUUUAGCAGUAGUAUCAGAGAGUUCGUGGACAAUAAAUCGGUUUGAGUUAGUGAACAAGAAAGAGAAAAAUAAAAUGUUGAUGACUACUCUACUAAUUCUUCAUUCAAUCUUCAAUCAUGAUGUGAUGUGGCGGGCGGCAAAUUUUCUACAGUGUUGCGAUCUGAUGGGUGACUCAUGUAAGGGGAGGGUGUAUGAACUUGAACGCGAUCGAUAGUUUGGAAGAUCAAACAAUUAAAGUUUCAACAGAUUUACUCUAAUAAGAAGAAUAAAGAAUUAUCACAAGAAAUUGAAGACAUGCAUGCUACUAGCAAGAGGGUGGAGGGAGAAAUUAUUAAAAGGAAAAGAAAAUUGGAAUCGUAAUGUGUGAUUGCUUUUAUUUCGAGACAAUGUGAAUGUUUAUUUAUCUUAAUGGUAAUCAUAUUGUACUUUUAGAUUUA